rnacentral:rRNA from 1 species
AGGGGCAGCACGAUGUAGCAAUACAUUGGUGGCGACCGGCGCACGGGUGAGUAACGCGUAUGCAACCUACCUAUCAGAGGGGAAUAACCCGGCGAAAGUCGGACUAAUACCGCAUAAAACAGGGGUUCCACAUGGAAAUAUUUGUUAAAGAAUUAUCGCUGAUAGAUGGGCAUGCGUUCCAUUAGAUAGUUGGUGAGGUAACGGCUCACCAAGUCCACGAUGGAUAGGGGUUCUGAGAGGAAGGUCCCCCACACUGGUACUGAGACACGGACCAGACUCCUACGGGAGGCAGCAGUGAGGAAUAUUGGUCAAUGGGCGAGAGCCUGAACCAGCCAAGUCGCGUGAAGGAUGAAGGAUCUAUGGUUUGUAAACUUCUUUUAUAUGGGAAUAAAGUGAGGAACGUGUUCCUUUUUGUAUGUACCAUAUGAAUAAGCAUCGGCUAACUCCGUGCCAGCAGCCGCGGUAAUACGGAGGAUGCGAGCGUUAUCCGGAUUUAUUGGGUUUAAAGGGUGCGUAGGUGGUUAAUUAAGUCAGCGGUGAAAGUUUGUGGCUCAACCAUAAAAUUGCCGUUGAAACUGGUUGACUUGAGUAUAUUUGAGGUAGGCGGAAUGCGUGGUGUAGCGGUGAAAUGCAUAGAUAUCACGCAGAACUCCGAUUGCGAAGGCAGCUUACUAAACUAUAACUGACACUGAAGCACGAAAGCGUGGGGAUCAAACAGGAUUAGAUACCCUGGUAGUCCACGCAGUAAACGAUGAUUACUAGCUGUUUGCGAUACACAGUAAGCGGCACAGCGAAAGCGUUAAGUAAUCCACCUGGGGAGUACGCCGGCAACGG